CAGGACUCGCAAGACUCCCGUAAACCACUGUGAACUUACCUACACCCGUUGCCUCGGCGGGUGCUCCGGGCGCGUCUUCGGGCGCUCCGGGGCGCUCCAGCCCGCCGGCGGCCCCUAACUCUGUCUCUGUAACGUUGGCAUCUCCGAGCAGACUAUAAACGAGUCA
rnacentral:misc_RNA from 1 species